rnacentral:lncRNA from 1 species
UUCACCGUUUCUUUUCUAUUUUUUUUAUAUAUUAUCGUAACAAAUACAAAAAAAAUUCCAUCAAAUUACAUUUAAUCCUCACAACCUAAAAAAACUCCAAAAACUUAUAUAUACAGUCUUAAAAAUUCACAUAAAAUCUUACACUAUUUAAGUUGACAGUACUUCAGAACACGUGUCAUGAGCACAUUAGCCCAUUCCACGUGUCGAGUUGUAGGUGUUAUAGAAGUUGGAGCUCUCUCACUCCCCUCUCUUCCAGCUGUCACACUUACACCACGUCAUCAAUAACAAAAGUAUAAUAAAAAUAUUUUUUUACAAUCAUGAUGGGACAUAUACCCCUAAAAGGAAAUAUUUGAUUGGUUUGUUAUGCCACGUCAUCAAUAUGCCCGUUGCAUUUUAGCCGACCCCCCCCCCCCCCGCCUUUUUUCUCACUCUCUCUUCCACCUCCUACAUUGUCCCUCUUUCUCACUCUCUCUUCCACGUCACCAAUAUACAUGUUUCACUGAAAAAGUCUACAGAUAAAUGUGUCUUUAUUAUUAUUAUUUUUUUUUAAGCGAAGUUCUUAGACGUUGCUCCUAAAAUUUUCCAGACAACUCAUAAUUUUUUUUAAAAUCUUAUUUUCUACAAACUAAAGGCUAAAUCAUCCCUUUGAUAUUUUACUUAGUAAUCUUUGGAUUUUUUAUUUUUAAUGAAUUUAUUAAAUAAAAUUUUGACAUUAAAAAUAUUUUUUUUUCUUAAAAUUUUCUAUUUUUCUGUGAAUUUGCAUGAUUUUUAAAAAUUUAGAUUUUAUAAAAAUAAUUAGCAAAAUUAUGUUUGAUUUAGGUGUCUAUUAAAAUUUAAUAAUUUUUUAUAUAGAUUUUUUUCUUUUUUUUUAGUUUUUCAAUAUAAAAUUUGAUUUUUACAUAAUUUUUUCACUAUGUUUUGUGAUUUCUACAUAAUUUUUUUAGGUGAAUAUCUAAGCUAUCUUGCACUCUAAAGCAAGUAUAUGAAAGCUAUUAAAAUUUUUAUUUUGUGAAUAAAAUUAGUGCUAAUAUGUUCGAUUUAAAGAGUUUUUAAUCAGAGUUUUAUUUAGUUAUUUUUUUGUUACAAAAUAUUUUAAUCUAUCGAGUAAUAUUUUGGUAUUCAAUAAAAUAUUUUAAAAAUUUUACCAAUUUCAAAAGAAACAUACUAUUUGGUGAUAAAAAUUUUCUUCUCUCUUUUAUUUUUUAAUAUUCUUUUGGAAUAAAAAAUUUUCUUCUCUCUUUUAUUUUCUAAUAUUCUUUUGGAAUAACAAAUUUUCUUCCCUCUUUUAUUUUCUAAUAUUUUUUUUAAUAUUAGAGUUUCUCUUUUUUUUCUAUUUUUUCUUAUAUUAGAAUAAAAUUUUUUUUUUUUCUUUCCCUCUCCCCUCUCUGUCAUAUGGAGUUAUAUAUCUCUCUCCCCUCCUCUCUCUAUCAUGUCUUAUAAUAUCUUAUUAUGAUAAUCUAUAUAAACUCUUUCUCUUCUUUUUAUCAUAUUUUAUAAUAUUUCAUAAUAAUCUGUAAGAUCUCUGCUUUUUUUUUCUCUCUUUUCCCAUUUUCUCUUUCUCUCUCUUCAUCUCUCUAUCUCUCUAUCGCGUAUAAUAUAUAAAAUCUUUCCAAAUAACUCUCUUCUAGAUAGUUAUUAUGUCUAAGAAUUAUAACUUUCACUUUUACAAUUUUUUCUCUAUUCCUACAUAUUUUUAUAAUAUCAUAUUCUAUGAAAUCUCACAAAAUUUUUUCAAAAUUUUUAUUAAUCUUUUCUCCUUGUCACAACUAUUAAAUUUUUAUAAUUUUUCUUCACCUCUUUCUUCCUAUUUUAUCUCCUUCUUAUAAUUUUUUGGUUAGGUUAUGUACUUUCUCUAAGACUCUUAUUUACAUUCUUUUAAUUUCUUUUUUAUUUUAUAUUCCCACUAACAAAAAUAAAUAUAAUUUUAUUUCUUUCAACCAAACAAAUGUUGAUAAAAUUUUUUUUUUUACAAACCGAACACUAUUGUUCUAUAAAAUAUUCUAUUUUCCUUAUCGAUAAAAAACUUUUAUUUUUUUCACUUUUUUCCAAAAAAAAUACUAUUUUUUUAUGGUUUUACUUCCAAUUAAACAUCCCCUUAGUUGUUAUUUUUUAAGUAUUAGUUUUUUUUUUUACAUUAUUAUUAUUAUUUCUGCUUAAUUAUUUGACCGAAAGCAUUAUAUUUAUAUUAGAAUAAAUAUUAUAAUUUUAUAUUCGAAUAUAAAAUUUUAUUUUUUUAUAUCUAUCCAUAGCAAAGCGCGACUGCUUCACUAGUUUUAAUAAUCUCAAUCAAAUUCUCACAACCCGAAACAGUGAAUGAUUCACUGCUAAAGACGGUAAAUGAUUCAACGUCUAUUAUUUCUCCUCCAUAUGGAGCUCAGUGCGGACAAAAUUAAGUUAAUUUGUUAAUUAAAAUUUUGAUAAAAUUAUUUAAUAAAUUAUUUUUUAGGGUUAAUUUUACACAACUCCCUAUAAAUAUAUAGAACAGCAAAUAUAUCAUUAUAAAAUUUAAUAUUUCAUAGUUAUCCCUGUAAAAAUUCAGUGAUAUUUAUAUUUACCUUCUGGUUUGUUAUCAUUAAAGCACUGUUUAUUUUUUAUCAGAAGAUAAGCGAAAUGACAUAUUUACCAUCACAAAUGUCUUUCUUAAAGUCUCAACUAUUAGAAUUAUACAAAAAUAUCCUUCGAAAAAUUUCUAACAGUUAUUUUUUUUUUCUACUAUCACAAAUAAUAUAAGAGGGGUAAAAAAGUCAAUUUACCAUAUUUACUAAGGUUAAAUAUUUUACCUAUAAUUAAUUAUGUUUUUCUAUCAAAUUCUAAUUAUGGAGACAAAUUUAAAAAUAUUAAAAUUUUUGUAGGAAUAAAUAUAAAAAAUUAACUUUGUAGAUCUUUACAGAGCUCUAUGCUAAUCCUUUGGUUUAAAGAUUUUCUGUGAGAGAAAAAAAAAAAAAAGAAAAAGCUUGAACUGAUGUUGCUCACCCCUCCGUACUCCGUAGGGCCACAUUUCGCAUUUAUUUUUCCCUAAAUUUUUUUGUUAAUAGUCAUUUGCGUAAUAAAAGGUUUUGUGGGGGGUCUAAAUGCGAAAAAAAAAAAAAAAUCCCUUUCCUUCCCAAUUCUCCACUUUUCGCUCCCUCGCUCCCCAACACGACGCGAGAGAGAGAGAGAGAGAGUAAGAGAGAGAAAGAGUAGAGAGAGAGAGAGAGAGAGAGAGAGAGAGAUGAUAUGGGAUACCAUAUCAUGGGGCUUCGUCUCCUCCUCUUCUUCAUCUCCACCCACACCGUAAUCUCCGCCUCCGCAGGUACAAUUACCCCCCCUCUCUUUCUCUCUACAACCCUAAUCUUGGAUCUCCAGAAGCUUCGCUUCUGUACUGAUUUAACACUAACUGGAUUAUAAGCUACAACAGUUUUCCAUGUCUUCCCGUUUCUUGAUCUUGCAAGAACACCAGGAACCCCUUUGUUUUAGUUCUUGCUCUUACAAAAUAAGGGGGAAAAAAGGUUUUUGAUUAUUAGAUUAGUCGGGUUUUAUGUUCUUGCUUGAAUUGUUGUGAGCUUUUGUUGUUUUAAGCAGAUAGGAGUAGAAAAGGAGAGAUUUUGUGUUCUUACGCUCAAAAAUAAACAACAAAUAGGGUUUUUUGAUUACUUGAUUGGUUGUUCUUUGUUUUUGCGUGAAUUGUUGUGAGUGUUUGUGGGUUUAAGUAGAUAGGAACCUGAAAGGAGAGAUUUUGAGUUCGACCUCCGUUCUUUCGCUAAAAAAUAAACAAAGAAAGGACUUUUUUGAUUACUUGAUUGGUUGUUUUUUUUGCUUUUGCUUGAAUAAUUGUUAGUGCUUGUGGUUUUAAUUAGAUAGGAACCUAAAAAGAGAGAUUUUGAAUUCGUCCUCAGUUCUUGCACUCAAAAAUAAGAAAAAAGAAGGGGUUUCUCUUUUGUUAUUAGAUUGGUUGUUCUUUAUGGUUUUGUUUGAAUUGUUGUGUGUUUGUGGGUUUAAGAAGAUAGGAACCUAAUAGGAGAGAUUUUGAGUUCAACCUCACUUCUUGCACUCAAAAAAUAAGAAUAAAGAAGGCGUUUCUCUUUUGUUACUAGAUUGGUUGUUUUUUAUGGUCUUGUUUGAAUUUGUAAAUUUUGGGGUGCCCAAGGAUCUAUCUAAAUUGUAUCCAACACCUAGAGGGAGGUGAAUAGGUGUAACGGCCAAAAAACCACAAAUCUCGAUGCAAUAAAAGUAAAUGCAGAAAAUAAAAAUCACACCGAAAUUUACGUGGGAAAACUCCAACUUGAAAAAAAACCCAUAGGACCAACACGCGAAAAAAUAAUUCACUAAGAAAAAAUAUUACAAGAAGAUUACCGACUCCACGGACUCGACCUCUCUUAACCUCUUACGAAUCUCGCGCAAUCCUCCGGGUUGUCCACACCCUCACAUUCGAAUCCACGAACGCCUCGCACACGUCCGAAUCCACGAACGCCACUAGAAUCCACGAGCACACGAUCCGAAUCCACGAACCGCCUUCAAUCACGCCGAAUCCACGACGCCGUCCAUGAAGAACAUCAUGAUUAUGGUGAUCUUUUGCUUAGAGUAUCGUUGAAAACCAGAGAAGAAACUCCAAGCGAAGUUUAGAUCAAUUCGACAUAUAGAUAGGAAUUUCAAUACUUCGAAUUGACCUAAAAGAGGCUAUUUUGUAGAAAAUAGGUUUUUGAUGAAUUCCGAACCUCUAGGGUUUCUCAAACAUAUAUUUUCGUGAUGCUUUAUGUGUUAGAGAACCCCAAUAGCUUAUUUAUAGACUCUAGAAUCAAUUAGAGUCGGAUUUGAAAGUUUUUCGGAUUUUUACAUUGUGUACCGGUACAUUUUUAAGCUGUUACCGGUUACAUGAUGACGGAACAGAAAACCUGCGAAACUCUGUAACCGGUGACAUGUCGCUGGUUGUACCGGAACAUAGUUUGUACCGGUACACUUUCAAUGCUGUACCGGUACACUUUGCAAUUUCCUGAAUUUUCACCGUUUCUGGUUUCGCAAAGUUCCGACGCACUUUCUAAUUCAGUAAAUUUUGAUUUUCUGAUUCUAAUGCCUACAACUAAGUAUGAAUCACCAUAACAUGAAUUAACACUUUACGUGAGGAUCGUGAUUCACGUCGUGAGUUAUUUUUCGAUUUUUUCGAAGUGUUGGAUUCUUCGAUCUUCGACGAUACGCACUGAUCCUUCAAGACUCCGACUCACUUCACGAAACUUGCCAACAUACAAGACUUAACAAUCUUCCUCUUUGGCAAUUUCGUGACAAAACUCACAAACUGAAAAUUAUGUAAUAAGAAUCGAAGUUCAAUUGUCAUCACCAAAACAUUGAACUCCUCGCAUGUGAUCCAAAUACAAUAUGAAACUUAAAAAUACAUCAAAACUCCUAAAACAGACUAUGACUUAGACGCAACUAGGAGUCUUGAAGUCUUGAUUUCCUGCAAAACAAUUUAUCCAAAGAUGAUAUCUCGAUUUGAAACCAUUGGAUUUUUAUACCUUUCAAUGUCAUUAUCUCAUUAUCAUUGUCCUCGAUCACUUCUCCCCCUUUGUUCUUGAGUUCUUCCUCUGCUUCAAUCAAAAAUACCUGUUCAUCUGUGAUCUCCCCCUUUUUGUCAAAAAUUGCCAAAAGAAAGUAUAUAGAGAGAAAACAUACUAAAAAGCAGAAAACUAGUCAAGUCAUAGAUACAGGCCUAAAAGCAAAAAUAAGCAAACUAAACAGUCUUAGGAGAGAAAAGAUAAAACAUAGAUAAUGAAGCUCAAAAAGGUAAGAUCACUCCGUGUCCUCAUCAUCAUCAUCAUCACCUGCUCCAGCUCCAGAUCCCCCUGCCUCAGGAGCACUAGUCGACAGUGGAAUGAGCGGAUGUCUCGACGUCGACCUCGUGUAGGUAGGAUGGGUAGGAAAUAUGUCGUCAUGCCUACAUCCUAGCUUCUCCAAAACCCUCUUCAACCCUACUUCCAACUUUUUGCCAAGUUCUCCCACCCUGCCGCAUAUAGGUCUCAAAUAAAUAAGUCCCUGUCUCCUCAUCCUUAGCAAGCACCCUCCCGUUCGUGUAGAACUCUCAAAUGAGUUCCACACAAAAAGGAGAUCGAGCCGGAACAUGUCCAACAGGCUAGAUGGGGACCCUCUGAAGCAGUUGGCCGAAAUCAGGAACCUCCUUGAUGAGUUCAGUAAAGUUGACAUAUCUUUCGGCGAUGCAUGACCUGCUUGAGAAUGUCCUCCGCCGCUCCGGUGGAACAUCCGCGGCUUGCUUUGAGCGACUCUUUCGUGCACGAGAGCCACCUCCGCGUGAUGAUUCUCCAGCUAUGCCUUUCCCUUUGUCAGUUGGAGCAAUCGGUUCUGCAGUAGCCUCCGGAGAGCUCGCUUGGUAAUCUGGAUCAGACUCGGACGACUCGCCUGCAGUACGAGUCCUCUUGGAGGCCCCUCGACGGCCUCGACCACGUCCUCGACCACGACCAGUGGCCAUUAGCACCAACAGCAGCAGCACGAACGAGAAUGCCACUUUUCCUACAUAACAAAUGAGCCCUGUAUGAAGAAAAUCCGGAAAAUUCUGUAAAAAUAGCGAAAAAAUUUCUAAUAAUAUUAGAAUGAAUAACAAUGCUAUUUCUAACUAAAUCAUGCAAAUUUUUUCAUCAAAGAUUGAUUUUCAUCAAAAAUCCCGAAAUUCCAUGUAUAUAGAGGUACAGAUCAAAGAUCAGCAAAAAAUACAGCGUUAUAACCUGAUCUAAGUGUUCUAGAAGCAAGAUUAUAUGUCUAAAUACUGAUUCACAGCAAAAAAUUGCAUANUUUUUCAUCAAAGAUUGAUUUUCAUCAAAAAUCCCGAAAUUCCAUGUAUAUAGAGGUACAGAUCAAAGAUCAGCAAAAAAUACAGCGUUAUAACCUGAUCUAAGUGUUCUAGAAGCAAGAUUAUAUGUCUAAAUACUGAUUCACAGCAAAAAAUUGCAUAAAAAACGAAUCAAAACAGAGAUCAUGCUUCAACUCGAAAUUUUUCGAAAAAAAAUAGCAAAAAUCGGGAUUAGAUCUUCAAAUUUGAGCAAAAUACUUACAAAUCGUUAGGAAAAACGAGUAGAUCUGGAAGAGAAGGUCGCCUGGGAACUUUAGAGAGAGAGGGAGAGAUUUGAUAAGGAUUUGAGAGAGAAUAAAACCCUGUGACCGGUUAUAACAAACGCGGCACAGUGAUUUGUACCGGUACACGGUAUUUUGUACCGGUACACUUUCCUAGAUUUCAAAAAUUUUGAAUUUUUUCCUUCAAAAAUCCGUCAAAAUUAAAUUAAUUUUAUAAAAAUUAAAGAUUGUACUCCAAAAAUCAUUAUGAUGAAGAUAAAAUAUUAUAGGAUUUCAAAAUACAUCAAAACAUCAAAAUUUGGCAAUAAAAAAUAAUCUAAUGAUUCAAAACCAUCAAGAUGUAAUGUUGAUGAAAAAUGAUUUUUAGAAAUUCGGCAAAAUUGACUUCCAAUUUGUCGCAACUUGUUCAAAAUAGAGAUUUAACUAAUAUGGCAUCGGGGGUGGCUCUUUGAGCAUCUUUUCAUCCUACUACCUUAUACCUCCGAAAAUUCUAAUAUAUAUAUAUAUUUUUUCCAACGUUUUCGGUUAUUCCAUUAAUUUCCAUGUGGUAGCUUCGCACACUUGCCGGACGACCGGGGUGGUAGCUCUUUCCUACAUGUAGUGGUAGUUUUCACACUCCUUUUGAGUAUAACUCUUUCCACAUCUUUUAAAUAUAGGAGUUUUUUUUUUUUUUUUUAAAUAAUUCAAACUCCCCCUAAAUUAGACAAUCUCACAAUUGAAAAUAAUUUUGACGAAUUUUAGUCAAUUAGAGAAUAUCCAUCCAUCAUAUCCAACACACACAACCAAGAUGAAUUAAUCACCAAGAGAUCAAAAUUGAUUUCAAAAUUUUGAUGAAUAUAUGUAUUAAGAAUUCCUAUAUUAAAUUAUCGUCAAAAUAAUAAAAGUGGAGUAAAACCGAUAAUUAAUAUGAAUUUAACUUAAUAUGAAUGUAAAGUUAAAUACCGUUUAAAGCACUUUGAAAAAUUUAAUCUCCCCAAAAUAAUGAUUUUCAAUCAUCUCCUUUCUCAAAGAAAGUUUUUAAAUUCCCAAACACCUUUCCUCAAAACGAUUUUUAAACAAAUAAAAUUCAAGCACAAAAAAUCGUCCAAACAUGUAAUGCAAUGAAUACAAAUAUGCAAUAAGCACCAAACAAAGCAUUACAUAAUCAAUCAAAACAAACUUAAGACAAAGAACAAGGAAAGAUAUCACCUUUCCGGAUCCACACUUGUCGGAUAGUAGGUUGUCUUGGCUUAUCGACGUUUGGUACGGUUUGCUUUGAUUUUUGAUCCACCGUAGAUUGCUUCGUUGUAGGUGACUUCGAUUGAAGUUGCCGGUGAGAUUUAGAAUUCCGGUUCCCUUGAGGCUUCGGUCGGACUUCACAUUGCGCAUUAGAAAUCCGGUUUGCUUGUGGUACUCGACGAACUUGAUUUUUCUUUUGAUUCCGUGGGGGAAGUUAAGUUGUAGAUGAUACCGAUUGAUGUUUCGAAGUUACCAAUAGAUUCUUCUUUGUCUUGUUCGGGCAACUCUUUUUGAUGUGUCCUUUGAUACCACAUCUAUGACACACCUUCUCUUUCGAAGUUGUUGAGACUUUAUGUAUUACCUUUUGAUCCUUCUCAACAUACGUUCUUUCAUAUCCGAGGCCCAACUUGCUCGUUUGACCCAAUCCAAGCAUAUGGUCCAAUUUCUUCGAUCCCAAAGAAAAUUUUUGAAUAUCGGAUUGGAGUUGACGAACUUGAUCGGUCAAUGACUUGUUGGAUGUGUACGAUUCCUCAAAUUGUUGCUCCAAAAAUCCAACUUUAUCUUUAUAGGAUUUGAUCGUUAAUUCCGCUUCAUCACGCUUCUCUUGGAGGAUUGAAUUGUCUUUCAAUGUUCAUUCCCUUUCCUCCUCGAGAAAUUUAUUCAUUGUCUUCAAGUUGUUGUUUUUCUCUUCGAGAUCCAACAAACGACGCCUCAACUUCUUAUUAAGUUUCGCCAUCUUCUUCGAUUCAAUAAAAAGUUGAUUAUACGCUUCUGUUAAAUCCUCGUCGUUUGAUUCCUCCUCGCUUUCACCAUCAUCGCUCGAAGUACCAUGCAAGGAAGGAGAAACACUAGAAUUAGACACAAUAGAGGAUAAACAAACAACAUUAGACGAAGGAAAAGAAGUGUUAGUAAAUAAAACAAGAUUUUAAUUCUUUUCUUCGUCACUUGAAGAUGAUUCACUCGAAGUAGAGUCAUCCCAAGUUUUAGCUUGCAAAGCCUUUUGUCUAUAAGUCUUCUUAGAUGGACAAUCCGUUGCAAUGUAACCGUAGCCUUUAUAUUUGUAGCAUUGGAUUUUUCCUUCAAAUUCAUCUUUUUGUUUUGAAGACUUUGCAAAUUUCUUAUCCUUAGAUUUAGAAGAUGAAGAUGAUUUAGAAAAAGAUUGUUGCUUAGACGAUGAAGCUUUGUCCGAUUUAAUCUUCCAAAAAUUCCGUCGGAACUUCUUCGUUAGGAGCGCUAAUUGAUGUUCGAAAUUGGCGAGCGAAAUAUCCCCGUCGGAAUCGAGUCAUCGUCUUCUUUCUUUGUUGAUUUAAGUGCAACCCCUGUACUUUUAGAAGAAGACUCGGAAGAAGAUUGGUUAGUAGGAAAAAUCAUCUCAUAAGUUUGCAAAGUAUCUAUUAACUCUUCGACUUUCAUCUCGUUCGGAUGCUUUACGGUUUUGAUUGCGGCAACUUUUGCCCGAAAGCGUUCCGGAAGAGUCCGAAGAAUUUUUCUAACAACUUUAGCAUUUGGGAUUCUCUCCCAAGUUCGCACAUGUAUUAACAACGUCUUGUAGACGCGUAUAGUACUCAGUAAAGGUCUCGUUUUCUUUCAUAAAAAUCGAGUCAAAUUUGCUUGUUAACAUUUACAAUUUUUGGAUCUUUACUAAGCUAGUUCCUUCAUGCGUAACUUGUAGAGUAUCCCAAAUUUCCUUUGACGUUUCACAUGCCGAAACGCAAGUAAACUCCGUUUGAGACAAUGCAUUAAAUAAAGCGUUUAUGUCCUUGCCGUUAAACGAAGAUGACUCAUUCUCAUCUUUUGUCCACUUAUUUCUCGGUUUCGGGACGGUAGCAUUAUCGACAACUUCGGUUGGAUGUUUCCAUCCGAAUUCAAUUGCUUGCCAUACCCGCUCAUCGAUUGCAAUUAGAAAAGCUCUCAUGCGAACUUCCAAUAGGCAUAAUUCGUGUCAUCGAAGAGAGGUGGUCGAUUAAUGUUACCGCCUUCGCCCAUUAGAUAUCAAUUUAUCUAGAUCUCUCUCUGAUACCAAUUGUAAAUUUUGAGAUGCCCAAGGAUCUAUCUAGAUUGUAUCCAACACCUAGAGGGGGGUGAAUAGGUGUAACGGUCAAAAAAUCACAAAUCUCGAUGCAAUAAAAAUAAAUGCGGAAAAUAAAAAUCACACCGAGAUUUACGUGGGAAAACUCCAACUUGGAAAAAAUCCCACGAGACUAACACGCGAAAAAAUAAUUUACUAAGAGAAAAGACUACAAGGUGAUUACCGACUCCACGGACUCGACCUCUCUUAACCUCAUACGAAUCUCGCGCAAUCCUCCGGGUUGUCCACGCCGUCACGUUCGAAUCCACGAACGCCUCACACACAUCUGAAUCCACGAAUGCCACUCGAAUCCACGAGCACACGAUCCGAAUCCACGAACCGCCUUCAAUCACGCCGAAUCCACGACGCCGUCCAUGAAGAACAUCAUGAUUAUGGUGAUCCUUUGCUUAGAGUAUCGUUGAAAACCAGAGAAGAAACUCCAAGCGAAGUUUAGAUCAAUUCGACAUAUAGAUAGGAAUUUCAAUACUUCGAAUUGACCUAAAAGAGGCUAUUUUGUAGAUAAUAGGUUUUUGAUGAAUUCCGAGCCUCUAGGGUUUCUCAAACAUAUAUUUUCGUGAUGCUUUAUGUGUUAGAGAACCCCAAUAGCUUAUUUAUAAACUUUAGAAUCAAUUAGAGUCGGAUUUGAAAGUUUUUCGAAUUUUUACAUUGUGUACCGGUACACUUUUAAGUUGUUACCGGUUACACGAUGACGGAACAGAAAACCUGCGAAACUCUGUAACUAGUGAUAUGUCGCUGGUUGUACCGGAACAUAGUUUGUACCGGUACACUUUCAAUGCUGUAUCGGUACACUUUGCAAUUUCCUGAAUUUUCACUGUUUCGGGUUUCGCAAAGUUCCGACGCACUUUCUAAUCCAGUAAACUUUGAUUUUCUGAUUCUAAUGCCUACAACUAAGUAUAAAUCACCAUAACAUGAAUUAACACUUUACCUGAGCAUCGUGAUUCACGUCGUGAGUUAUUUUCCGAUUUCUUCGAAGUCUUGGAUUCUUCGAUCUUCGACGAUACGCACCGAUCCUUCAAGAUUCCGACUCACUUCACGAAACUUGCCAACACACAAGACUUAACAGAAUUGUUGUGAGUGUUUGUGGGUUUAAGUAGAUAGGAACCUAAAAGGAGAGAUUUUGAGUUCGACCUCCAUUCUUUCACUCAAAAAUAAACAAAAAAAGGACUUUUUUGAUUACUUGAUUGGUUGUUUUUUUUGCUUUUGCUUGAAUAGUUGUUAGUGCUUGUGGUUUUAAGUAGAUAGGACCUGAAAGGAGAGAUUUUGAAUUUGGUUUCCAUUCUUUCACUAAAAUUUUUUUUAAAAAAAUAGCGUCUUUUGAUUACUUGAUUUGUUGUUUUUUUUUGUUUUUGCUUGAAUUGUUGUUAGUAUUUGUGGUUUUAAGUAGAUAGGAACCUAAAGGGAGAGAUUUUGAGUUCGUCUUCUGUUCUUGCACUUAAAAAUAAAGAAAUAAAUAGGGUUUUUUGAUGGACUUUUUUAUGAAAUAACCUUUUAAAAUUUUAUUAUUUGCAAAAUAACUUUGCGAAAAUUAUAUUUGAAAAACUAAUCUCUUAAAGACGGUGAAUGGUUCACCGCCUUCAUAAAGACGUGAACGAUUCACCGCUUUCGUGAUUUCUUAGAAAAGCGGUGAAUCAUUCACCGCCUUUCUACGGUUUCUUUCUAUACACCUAACAACCACAUAAAUAUUUCAACAAUCACAUAUAAUCUUAACAACCUGAAAAUUCUAAUAAUCUAUCCAUACAAUCCUAACAAUCAAAAAGAUCCUAAUAAUCUAUCGAUACAAUCGGAAUAAUCAAACAUCACAUAUAAUCUUAACAAUUUGAAAAUCCUAAUAAUAUAUCCAUAUAAUCCUAACAAUCAAAAAAAAUUUAAUAAUCUAUCCAUACAAUUAUAACAAUCAAACAAAAAUUCUAAUAUUCCACACACAAUCCUAACAAUUUUACUUUUUUUAUUUCUCGUAUAAUCUACGUACAAUUUUAACAACCUCAUUUUUUUCUCUUUCUCAAAAAUUAUGAAGAAGAUGAUGAAUGAUUCACCGUCUUUAAAAGACCUUAGAGACUUUCAGAAUGCGGUGAAUGAUUCACCACGUUUCGAGAAUUAAUUUGCCAAAUAUAAAUUUUAGAUGGUUAUUUUGUAAAAAAGUCCUUUUUUGAUUACUUGAUUGGUUAUUCUUUUGUCUUUGCUUGAAUUGUUUUAAGUUUUUAUACUUUUAAUAAUUUAGGAACCUAAAAGGAGAGAUUUUGCAAUGGUUAAGGGCUAAACAUAAGUCAGCCGUAGUGUUUGCACUUCAAAAAUAAGGGAAAAAAAAGGGUUUUUUGAUCCUUGAUUUUUUUUCCCUGCAUUUUUUGCUUGAAUUUUUGUAAUUAUUUGCAGCUUUACGUAGAUAGGAAUCCAAAAGGAUAGAUUUUGCAGUGGUGAUGGGGCUAAACAUAAUGGGGUGAGGAGUCCAGGAUCUCUAUAUUUUGGUUUUAGUAUCAUAAAUUAGUUGCCGAAGUUGAGGGAUUUUAGCAUGGAUGGUGGAAAUUAUUGCGAGUGCUUGUGGUUUUAAACAGGUAGGAACUUAGGGCCUGUUUGGCAACCCUAAAAAACAGAGUUCUGAGUUAAAUACACUAUUUUUUAAACAGUACAGGAUCUUAUUUUUUUCUUUUGCAGAAUGGUUGUUUGGGUACUUUUAGUAUUGUCAAACUUACAGCAAAAAAAAUUGCAAACAGUAAUUUUUGGGAAAUUGUAACAUCCACUCAUUUUUUUUGUAAAAAAAUUGCUCUAUUCGUCAGGCGGUUGUUGCUUUUUCAGUUGUUUAUCAGUUUGUGAUUUCUACGGUUAAGUGUGUGAGUAGAGUUUCUCGGUAUUUUAGGUGAUGAUGAGGAUGCUAGCUAGGUUCAGCAGUGCAGUUCCAAUUUAUCUUGUGACUUGUAGAAACUAUAUUUGGGCCUUGAGUGUUCGGCAUCAUCAAAAUUGUCGAAGAUUUAUGCCUUUCGUAAACUCUGAUUUUUGUUAAUGAGAAUCUUAUGAGGAAAUGGGAAUAAAUGCUGCGCGACAAUUUUAAAGUGGUUCUAGUUUUAGACUAUCUUCCAUAUAGGCUGAGUGACUCCAGUUGAGGUUGGAUCUAGAAUUUUUGCACUUAUAUUUAUACAUCUAAGGAAUUUUCUUUGAAAACCAUGGUGCCAACUCAUAAUUUGAUUAAAAUCUUGGAAUCUUCAAAAAAAAAAAUGCAGUACUAGAGUGAACUAAGUAGCCAAUAUUGAAAUAUGUAUGCGAGUAAUGCGAGUAUUAAGACUAAUGCGAAAUAUGUAUGCAUAAGACUAAUGCAAGUAAUAAACCUGUUUAUUGAAUGCAUUUUUGCAACUCCCGGAAGUAGAAGCCAGGGUCAUGUCAAACCACACAUAUUCAUACAAAGUAAAACACUGAGACCAGUAGUUCACUUUAUCCAUUUCUGCAAUCGGGGCCCUGUAGUAUUUAAAUGCUUCAUUCCUGAAAUGAGAUUAAUUUCAAAUAUUUUGAUUUAUUUGAAGUCAAAUUCAGUUAUUUAGAUUGCUUUUCUGAUUUAAUAUUCAAACGAGAAAUUAACUAUCAUCCAGUCCACUAAUCAGGUAUGCAUCUAGUAAUGCAACUGGGAUGGGUCUUUCAUUUGAAAUUUCGUGGUACUUUUUUCAGUGUGGCAUUAAAGAGUCUAAGUUUAAUUCUGUUGAAAAUCUGUGACAACUAAAUGUGCAAAGUUCUCUUUAUUGAGGUAAUACAAUGCAGAUGCAUCAGCAUCAACCCUUUUAUCUUGUUUAAAAUAAAUUGUGGAUGAGACUGGUGUUAUCAGAAUUGAACCAAACCACUGGUCAAAUAGGAUGAAGUGAUCUUUCAUUUUUAGACAAAAAUAAGUAAAUAAAGGACAAAACACUGUUAGUCUAGAACAAUCAAGUAUUAAAAAAGAAAGUGUGCGAACUACAUAGUUGAACCAGUUUUUGUAAAAGAGUUGCAUAUUGUGUCAUUAGUGAUCUACUUUAUGUAAGUAGUUUUAGAUAUAUUAAUGGAGUGCCCAUCAACUUCUUAACGAUUUAAACUGGCUUUGGCACGAUUCCCGUGCAUUAGGGGUUUGUCCUUAUUUCUUCUACAUACGGUAUAAAGAAAGGAUUGGUAGGCUCGUCCGAACAAAGGGAAGGGUCUUCUUCGGCGGAUCCCUCUUGUUCCUGUUUAGUCUCCUUCAUUUCGGAAGUUGUUUCUACAUUGAUUUCUUCAGAUAUUGGGCAGGCUUUUCUAAUAGGGCACUCAAUCAAUCCCCAAUCGAUCCUUCGCUAGUUACGAGUUGCGAGCUACUCGUUCUCUUAAUCUCUUCCUAUCACUAGGUCCGUCUGUCGGAUUACAGUGCUCGCCAGCCUAUUCUAUCUUAGUGUCCAUCCGCCUUAACGUCUAUACAAAGGAUUAUGUAUGGGCAAUAUUGAAACUGUUCUUUCCAGUAGUUUUUUCUUUUUUCUUUUUUUUGCGGCCCGGUGCAGCUUAGCAUUGCUUUGUCAUGCUUUUGCCCGUUGCAGUAAAAUCCCCAUUUUUGCCUCCCGUAGGUGUUUGGGAUGUGUCUAAGUACCAGUGUGGCUGAUGGCGAGGCAUAUUCAGAUUGUCAAUAUGCCCACUAGCUCUGGAAAGACAUGCAUGCACACCUCCUUCCAUUGCCAUUACCUGCCUUUCCUACGGCGCUGUUUUUUCUCCUUCGGUGGUGUGUCAGCAUUAAGUCAAAUACUUGUCUUUAGAUCCAAAUCGAAUACUAGUUCUUCCGUUAGGCAGUUCCACUCAAUAGAAAAGUCGGUCCCAUACUAGUUCUAUACCAUAUGGAGCCACCGCCGCUUUUGUUGGUGUGCUCUCCUAUCAGUCUACCCUUUCUGACUGAAGAUUCUUGCUGCCGAAAUCCUUAGGAUUAGUGUUUGGCGGUUGGGUACCGGGUACCUGAUCCAUUGGAGAGCCUCGUACUGUGGUUUGUAGUUGAUUACAUAAGUAUGGUUCGGACAUUGAUUAUUAGUUUGUCACACCUGAAGAAAAUAUGAUUGUUGUAAAAUAUUUAUGCAAUCUAAUAUAUAUUCAUACAUUUCAUUCUUUUUAAAAUUAGAUGGUUCACGCCCUUAUUCACCAGCUCAAUUGGCUAAAUCUUAAAUGUCCUCCUCAAUGCUGUGAUGCUCAAUUCUGCUAUCAUGAAGUUGUAUGAGACUUGAAUGAAUCGGAGUUUCUGAUCAACCUGCCGAACUAAUUUCUGUACAUUCCUUUAAUACAUACAAAAUUUGCUCAUAGUAGGAAUUUGAUAUAAUAUAAUGCAGGACAAACGAAAGGGCUUUGUACAUCUCCUGGGGGGCGAUUCCCUCCAUUUUCAAACGAAGGGAAGCCUCCUAGAAGAGCACCGAAAGGACCAAGAGACUUGACGCUCUGUAGGGUCUUCCGGCAAAGUACAUGUUGUGAUGUAACCCAGACUUAUCCUGCCUUGUUGUCUGUAAGAAAGCUGGCUUCGACUGGAGAGGGAAGCCAAGAAUGUUUGCAUUUAUGGGAGCUAUUGGAGUGCUCCAUUUGUGACCUGCAAGUAGGAAUUCGGCCCGGGCCACCUACAAUAUGUGCCUCCUUUUGUGAUAUGGUUUUUGAGGCCUGUUCAAAUGCUUAUUAUUCUGUCGAUAUAAAGAAUCAGGUAACUAUAACUUUAAAUUUUAACGUUUGAUUUAGAUGUAUUAACAAGGAUGUACAAGUUGUCUUGUCCUUUAGUUCACUAACCAUCUCUCUGUAGUUGGCUAAUGAUGAUUUAUAUGGAGGCCCCUUAUUGUUCAGAAAAUUUCAAGAAUGCCCGUUACUUUUAGCCUUUUUAAAUAAACCGUCGCUUUUAAGUUGUCUUUCCAAUAAAGGUUCUUGCUGUUUUAACUUGUCAUUCUCCUUUUUUGUACUUUUCCCUUUGAAAACAGUAAACUUCAUAAGUAUACAGGUAUCACUUUACUAAAAUUUUACCAAUCUGAUGAACAUUACUCGAUUUUUCCGAUCUAAAUCAAGCAGGUUUAUGAAGUUUAGAUGACUAAGUUUAUAAUAAAGGGAUAAAUGUCUCGACUGGUGCUAGCAUAUUAUUAAAUUCCUCUUAAGGAUGCUUUGUGGGGUCUUUAAAGGAAAAAAAAAACUUUAAGCUAAGGGAUGUAUUUAAGAACAUAAAAUUUGUGCUUUCCUGAAGUUGUCUGAAUAAUGGGAGAGCCUUCAUAUAAAUUUCCAUAAUCAUGCACACACCUAGAGGAAAAACCCUGCUUUUUAAGAGCUUUGUGAGCCUUGUGGCUGGUUUUCUAUAUUUUAUUUUUACAUAUCCUUCAUAUAUAGCGAAUUCACAGAUUCAACUUUCGGAGACGAUUUCUAAUAGAUUUUGGUUCCUACUUUCUCAGUUGUUGUCUCCAUGUGGCUUAAACGACAUAGUCUGUGGUAGAGCGAGCGAAUGGGUCUCUAACGGUACGGAGCUCUGUCACCUUGCGGGUUUCGCUGUGCAACCGGCUAAUAAUAAUAUUGGUUUUGAGAGUGUCGAUGAGCCUUUCUGCUAUGGUGGGAAAGCAAGCUUGCAUUCGAUCUCUGAUUCAUGGAGGGCUUCUUCACAAGCUCGUUCGGAUUCGCCCACCUUGAACUCGAUAUUGCUCGAAGACUUUCAACAAUGGUUGAGGGAUAUGCCGCUUAGUGAAAAGGUUUCAUGGGCAGUUGGAGGACUGGUGCUUACUGCAGGGCUACUUGUUAUCAGGUUUGUCAUUUUGAACCCUAAAUAUAUAUCUACGGCACCAAUAAUUUUACAAAUAAUUAUAUUAGUUCAUGUGAGAAGCUUCUUUUCGGAUGGUGAAAGGUAAAUGCUAUUUUGUUAGAGCAUCACAGUAACUGCUGCUAUUUUCUUUGUCGAAGUGCCAAAUUAAUGAUAUCGACUUGUCGUUGAACUGAAAGAAGUUCGACUGAGUUUACCGGACGUAUGAGGGCUAAGCUUGGAUUUGCUUUGGGAUUGAUGGCAUGUUUUAUCAUCUCUAAUCCAUGAGAUUCAGUCUUGUUCAAACCCAAAUUUAAAGAAAGAUUAUUGGCGAUAAAGCUAGUACAGUUUUCGUAGUUUUUUCUUUCUAUUGAUCAGUUGAUAGUAAUGUACAGUUGUAUUACUAGAUAUUCGUUUCUUUUUGUUUUUCAUUCUUAUGAAAGCACGAUGUAAUACGCGUAUUCCUUUAUGCAUAUGCAGCAAAAGGAAGAGCUAUAGCCAACGGCAGAAGCAAGCGGCUAUCCUUCGCACCGCUCGGAGGCUGGAAGAAAAAGCCAAGCAGCGGUCACCUAAUCCAAGGAGAUAGAAGUUCCAGAAAAUUAAUGUACUCUUUUUUCUUUUUUUUUUUGUUUCCUCUCACUCUCCACAUUCUUAGUUUUUCGUCUUGUUCCCAUGUUAAACGGUGUUUGUUGGCGGAAGCAAACCUCUCUUACUUAAAUCAAAUCUGAUCCUAAAAGCUACAAAUUCUGCGAUCGGACGGGGUAUAUGCACUUUGUAGAGAACUGAUUCAAAUUUGUAUCAUGCUAUGUCCAUUUAGUUUUUAAGGAUCCAAAUCUGGUUUCCGCGUUAGGACUUGGAUCAGGUUGGUCUGUUGAUAUUUCCACCAAGGAAUCUAGUUUUACACCAAGUUCUCUGCUUCCAAAUCAUUUUUAAUUUUACUUCUAUUUUCUUGUUUGCUGAUUUUGUUGGAAAGAAUUGUGAACAGUUGUGAUAGCUCUUUGUUCCGUUCCUGAGCUUAGUAGGGCAUCUUGCUGUUCUUGGUAUUUACAUGAUUAUGACACUGCUGCACUUAUUAUUGGUGAGCCCAGGUCCGACUUAUUGAAUACUGACUCAUUUUAUCUCGUGGUUUCUGUGCCUCGAAACAUUUUUGAGUGAUUAGAAUAAAGCAAUAUGAAUGUAGAAUCAAGCUUGUGAACAGAGUUGGGUUCUUUUAUUUUGUACAAAUGCGGAUGCAAUUGUGACGCCCUACUUUCUAGACGGUGAUCAUCUAUUCUAAAACUAUUCUAGCUCUAGCAUGCUUAACCCUCUACCGUCCAAAAUGGUAUAGCGAGAUUAAGACACUCACAAGUAUCAGAUCAUGUGAGAUUUAUAAUCUUAGUUUAACUGAGAUUCAUUUCACAUUGUUUGCUAUUAAUUGGCUCUGACACUAACUGUAACACCCCAUACAUCUAGGUUAGCUGUUUCUAUCAUUUGCUAUCCUUAUUUCUUAUUUCGGCUGGCUUCGGAGAACUAUUCUAUUGUGAGAAACGACUUGAGGUUUGCCAAACUUUCCAAAAAGCUGAAAUGACCUUUUGGGCUUAAAAAAUGUAAGCACUCCUAGCUCUGCCUGACUGAAAAGCUGUUAAGAGAAUUUUAGUGAAAAUAAUUUUAGUGCUUAUUUGACCUCCUGCAUGGGUGAAAAUUUUCCCAAGACUGAAAAAUUUCUUACAUGCAUUAUGAUUCCUAAGCAUCUUGAUUGGGACAACCAGUGGAUCUAAACACAUAUCUUUCAAAUAUUUUAACAAAUUUGACCAACCCCCAAAAUUUUCAACCAUCUGCCAGUCUGCCACUACAAACCAGAAAGAGAAGAAAAUAAUAUAGGGAAAACUUCAAAAAGCCCCUAUGUGGUUUUAUACUUUUUCAUUUUAGUACCAUGUGGUUUAAAUUGUAUCAAGUUAGUACCCUGUGAUUUCUCACUUUAUCACUUUAGUACCCUGUAGUUUAAAGUGUAUCAAAUUAGUACGUUGUGGUUUUGUACUUUAUCACUUUAGUACCCUGUGGUUUCACACUUUAUCACUUUAGUACCCUAUAAUUUAAAAAACCACAGGGUACUAAUUUGAUACAAAAUCAAAACCAUAGGGUACUAAAGUGAUAAAAUGCAAAACCACGGGGUACUAACUUGAUACACUUUAAACCACAGGGUACUAAAGUGAUAAAGUGAGAAACCACAAGGUACUAACUUGAUACAUUUUAAACCAUAGGAUACUAAAGUGAAAAAAAUUGAAACCACAAGGGGGUUUUUUGAAGUUUUCCCUAAAAACAAGCUCCUGAAACAUUCUAGCAACUUCUACAUAAUAUCAUAAAACCUAGCUUCUCAUAGAAAAGAGCACACACAGAAUCCGCGGAAAGUAGAAAAUUCUACAUGAUAUAAUCCCACAUGAACACUAAUCUGAUCAAAAAAGAAGGCACAAAAAGCAGGCAAAAUGUGUUCCAUAAUCUAAAGAUAAUGUACAGCCCUAAAGUGAAAGGGCUUUAAAAUUCUCUCUCCCUACUUCUUUGCAUAUGUAAUAAGCAUCGGGUUCUGCUGCGUGAUUUUGAAACCUUGAAGGCCCUGCAUGGCCACGGUCGCCUGCAUCUCGUCGCCAUACUCGACGAAAGCAAUCCCGGGCUUCGCCUCGAUCAUCCUCACUUCUUUAAAGCCAGGAUACUGUAUGAAGAGCAUCUGGAGCAUCAUAGGUGUAGUUUCGUGCGGGAGAUUCUGAACGAAGAGUAUAUUGUUUGGAAGGGCUGGUGCUUCCUGAAGCAUAGACUUGGCACCUCCAGAGUAUGGCAACUGAGAGAGCUGCAACAUUUAUAUUUUCAAUCCGUAGAAAGAAGUAGAAUAAGUGGAAAUGAAAAAAAAUUCAACGAUGGUAAAUAUGCAGACUUGCAGAGGACCCCCAUGUACUAUCAUACUUCUACAGAUGGCAACCCUAACUUUCUUGAGUAGGAAGAAAAUUAAAGAACACUAACAAUUAGCCAGUUGCUACUAACCCACCUAUCCUUUAUUUUCCUCAAUCUUGUGCAACAAAAGCUAGCACGUGAGUACGUGACUACCGCACGAAUCGCAUGACCCUUAAAAGCUUGGUUUUUCAUCAUGCUAAGGUAAGUUUAGGUGCAUUUAAAUCAUUUGGUUUUCAUGUUUACCAAUGGCUGUGAUAGAUAAUGACAGUAAAAGGGAAGGUUGCUCCGGUAGAUUUGUUAACUUCUCAAAGUUUGGGUGACAAUUGACAAUCUUUAAAAGCAUGAUAAAUCAGGAGGCGUUUAUCCCUUGAAAGAAACAAGUGCUAUAAUCUACAAGCAAGAUCAUAAGCAAUAAAACAAGCAUGUAAAAGAGAAAUAGAAAAAGGGGAUUUUAUGCAUUUUGUAGCACUGAGUUUAUCGAAAGUAGUCAAUGAUGUAAUGUUCAUGUCCUACAAUGAAUUUCAUUGCAGCAUAUUUGUAGUGCAUAACAAGUAGCUUCAUCGCCUUUUCUUUUCUUAUUAUUUGAGAGUGUGUGAAAGCACGUGGUAAUGUUACUUUGAUUUGUGGAUUAGAUAAGAUGAACACAUUUUGCAUAUUUGCAAAAAAUGGUAAACAUAAUAAAGAAAAAUCUUUAAGUUCCUUGUAAAUUUAAAGAUGAUUGAUUCAGAUCUUAUGCCAAAGUUCAACAAAAUAAGAUAUUAAAUAGAAACAAUACUUACAGGUGGAGCUCCAUAAACACCAGGAUAAGAGGAAUUCAAACCCAGACCAACUUGAUUGGCAUCAUGGUGCUGUUCCCGCCUCUUUCUUUCAGCUGCAUUUAUACAAGAACCAACAAAGCAAUGAGUUGCCUUAACCACAUUAAUCCAACUUAACUUGCACAAACAUAUGAAAGAUUCUAUUUAAGAAACCACUCAUUCAUUUUACACAAGAGGCAAGUAUGUGAUGUAAAGUGAGCGAAUAGAAUAAGUUAGACAUCUAAAAGUUCAUGCAAGUAUAACUAACAACUCGGUAAAAACAAUCAGAAAUAGAGUAACUCACUUGGACAUAUACACAACAUGAUUGAAAGACGAUGACAAGAAAAUAUAGAGAGUGUACGUUCAACAAUAAGUGUUAAUGGACAUGUAGAUUUACAUAUAAUGAGGCCUAAUGACAUUACACACUUGAAAUCAAAUAUGAUGUGCUCUUAGCAAUGAUGAAGUGGUGCAUUCGAAAAGCAGUAGGACACAUCUUCUUUGGUCCUUGAAAACAUCACACCAGCAAAAAGGCUAGAUUUUAACCAGGGCCUGUUUGGCCUGAAUGGAGCUUCUGCGAGAUUGGUAUUUCAGUAGAGUUAUUCGAAGCAGCAUUAAUAACAUCAUUAAACUAUCUCAAGAGCUUGUGAUAUUCUCAAAUUAGGCAUUUUGUUCUUCACACUUAGAAGCUCAUUGUAACUUUCUAGGAUAGCAAAAGCUCCAGAUUCUUUGUUUGUCAAAUAUCUAUCAGUCGUUUCUCAGGAUGGAGAAGCUAUUCCAUAACGCAGAUCAUUUGGGCACAGAAGUAACAUCAACAUAAGUGAUCAGCUAUAUAAUUUGGGGCUGAACAUAGCUAACAGAGAUUCACACCACAUAUUUUUGCUCUUUAUCUCAAUGUCUACCAUGAAAACAUCCAUAUUGUCGAAACACAAGUUCGUUUACCUAUUUGCAUUUCCUUAGCAUUUCCUUCCUAAGGAAAUGCUCUAGCUGUCUCAAUGUCUUCCAAAAAUUUAGACGUGGAUAAAAUAUCAGUAAAAGAUACAAGUUUAAUGAGCUAAAACAGCAUAUGAAGUUCAAGAAAUACAACCACAUCACAAGCCUCAAAAAAUAAAACCACAUACUUAGUCUACUUUUACAUAGAAAAUUACUCAAAAGCAAGGAGAAGACAAAAUACUUCUCCAACCGUGCUAAAUAAUGUUGAAGACUAAAUAACAAUAAAGAUAGCAGUAAAUAGUUCUAGUUCUGACCUCUAUCAUCAUGCCUCUUCCGUCUUUCUCGAGGGACAAAAGUUCCAUCAGCCUUUGCUAUUAUGUCUGAUUUGGUCUUAGCAUACUGAAUUCUCUGUAAUCAACAAAAACAUUCAAACCAUUUUUUUUUUAAACGCAAAACAACUGCUCUCAGUUUAGCAAGAGUGCAGGACAAUACAAUAAAAGGAACUUGGAUAACCAAAUACUAAGUGUUAUAAAGUGUUCACCAGUUCAUCCAGAUUAUAAAAGCGUUCACCAGUUCAUCCAAAUUUAGGAGACACUUUUGCUUUAAACAAUCAUUUACAUAAAAAUCCGGAUGUUAGGAGAAGAAACUCCAAAUCUGACUGUCAAUCUAUUUUGAAGAUGAUGACCUGCUUGCUUUUCAAGAAUUUUGGUGACUUCAGUAGUUUCAAAUGAAACAUAAGGAAUACUGACACAUCCAACUCAAUAGCUAUGAAUCUCAACACGCCCACAACAGCUGGACUAGAUUGGACAUUCCCCUAACACCUAACAAAAGGUUCCAAUUCAAAUUCCUAAAUAACCAAAAAGUUUGUAACACUAACGAUAAAUAUAUUAUAGUUGGUUUCAAUAUAGUGAACUUACCAUAGGUUUGUCGUAGAAGGGAAAUCCUUGCAUCCGCUUGAGAGCCUCACUUGCUGACGAAACAUCCUCAAAUACUACCCAUGCUUGUCCUUUGUGUUUUAAUGUUUUAAAAGCAAGGACUUCUAGUAUCUUCCCAAAUUGAGAGAAAACAGCAUGCAGCGACUUCUUAAGUUCUGAAAAGGCAAAAAAAAAAUCAUUAACCAAAACUAAAAGAAAAUGAUGACACAGAAAUCAACAACAUUAUAUAUAUGUAGUAUAAAUAGUUAAAUGUUUUUUCAGUAACAUUUGGUUCCUAAAUAGAAGAAAACCUCAAGAAGUAUAAAUGAGCAGAGCUCAUUUAUUAAUCACCUAAGAAAAUCUAAAGUCUUAUGAAGUUUUAGACCUUUAGAUUCCCUAACUGCCUUCAAGUUGUGUAACAAAACUCACUCCUUUUAGCAAUAGUUGGGCAAAGAUCUCAUGCAUUGCAUAUUAGUCGAUGUCAAAACCUAAUAUGUAAUCGCAAUCAUUUCAAACCAUAUGGCAUAUGCUAUGCUAUCUUUUAGUAUCAUUUAAGAAUUGGUAGGAUCUGGCAGACAAAAUAUAUGGCAGCUAAUAUAAUAUGCGUUGUUUUUCAAAGUUUUUUUUCGGCAGUCUCAAAUGACCAGAAACUCAAGCGAGCAGAAUUCUAUCAGAGUAAAAUUCAAAAACAAAUAUUAGCAGCGAGUUUGCACCCUUUUAUAGUGGAGAGUGAAUAGCAGCCUCAGCCAUCUUGGAGCACUGAGGACAUAAAGGCUGCCAGCCAGUCAGACCGAAUACAUCCUAAUCAACUAUCCACCUUCCAGGAAUUUUUAGGCAGACAACCAAUUGUUCGUAUGUUUAAUUUACCAAUUUCUCAGAAAAUGAUGGCUCAACAUGGUAUAUCUAACCACUGCUCCAAACAAUUAGUCAUUUGUAGUAUUAAAUAAAUUUCAGUUGAUAUGUUAGCAUUACAUAAAUUGCAAUUGUUUAAUUAACAAUUUCACAAAAAUGAUAGGUUCAGUAUCAGUAUAUCUAAUCACUUUUUGAAACAAUUACUAAUUGUAGCAUUACAUAAGCCUCAAUUGAUGUGUGCUACCGCUACGCAACAGUUCAUUGAGUCAUCAUUCGAAAAAGCCAAUGCUCAUCCUUCACAGCAAAUACUAAUCUUUUCCUUUUUAAACCACUCCACCUAAAAAUGCGCUAGUAUCUAUUGACCUUCACCAAAGCAUCGAACCAACACAGGUGUAUAGAAUUUACCGCGAAGAACUCGAACAAAAAGGAAGCAAGCAAAGAUUUUUAUUACUUAAAUGGGUAUGCUGAGCACAAAAUAGAGUGUUCCUCGCAAAGUAAAGCCAUGUAGAAACAAUUAAUUGUUAGCAUUAGAGAGCGAGACAAGUGAAGAGAACAAGCACAAGCAAAUAUCAACAUAUAACAUAUUAAACCCUAUGUGAAGCUCAGAUGUUCGACAAAAAGCCCAAACGAGAGACGGGUCAUUCAGCGACGAACAAUGACGUAGCGGAAGUGUUGCUAGGGUUUCGGAGCGGAAAAGGGAUUAAACGUCACAGAAAAAACAAAAAAUACCAAAGAGAAGAGGAAAAAAAGGGGAAAAUGGGGGAGGGUACCAUCGAUUUUGAUCUUCUCGUUGAGGUUGUUGAUGUAGAUGGUCAUGUUGGGAGGGAUCGUCGGGGCUUCGCCAUCGCCGCUCAUCUCUCUCUCUCUCUCUCUCUCGCUCUUUCGCUCUAACGGGAGGGGGAAGAGUGUUUCUUCUCUUUUGUUUUCGUACGAGAGCGCCGGUUCGAACCGGUGGUUUGGACCAUCACUCUUUGUUUUCGUUUUUUUUGGGGAUAAAAUAUGUAUGUCUUUUUUUUUUGGGGCCAAUUUAUAUAAAAAAUUCACAAAUUUUCAGUUGCAAGACUAAGCCACUAAAUUAAAUUUUGCAGAUUCCGUCCGAAUUUUUAGAACACUGAUCAAAAUAUUCUUAUUCUCUUUUCUCUCUCUUCUUCUUUUUUACGUUUUUUUUUUCUCUCCGAUCCUCCUCCACCGCCUCCGUGACUUUUUUCGAUGGCAACAAGAUGGCCCGCCUUCUCUUCCUCCGCUUGUUUUCUUUUAUGUUUUUUUUUCUCUUCGACUCUUCUCUAUCGCCUCCGCGCGCGGUCUUCUGCGACGAUAAUGACGGCGGUACCACCUCCUCUUCCGAUGCCGGCGCCGGAGGAGAAGGAUUCAAAGUGAGUGCGGAUGAGAACAGAAUGAACGGAAGCGAUAAAGUCGUGACCGAGAUAGUGUUCGCUGUUGCUCGUGAGGGUGAGAACAAAAACAUGCCCACGUUUCUCCCAGCUCCUCUUCCGAUGCCAGCGCCGGAGGAGAAGGAUUCAAAAUGAGUGCGGAUGAGAGUAGAACGAACGGAGGCGAUAAAGUCGUGAUCGAGAUAGUGUUCGCUGUUGCUCGUGAGGGUGAGAACAAAAACAUGCCUGUGUUUCUCCAAAAAGCGCUUUCAACAAAAGCGAUGGUUACUAUAGAGGACGAGACAGAGACUGUGACAAUAAUUUUUUUAUCUUUUUUAUCUUUUAUUGCCAAUUCUCUCUCAUCCUCACCAAUCAUGCAAACAAAUUUACAAAAACAUAAAGAAUAAAUAAAAUCCCACCAAAUCACACCAAAUUUUCUGUGUAAUUAACAAGUUUUAUGAAAAUGAAAAAAAAAGAGAAAGAAAAUCCCACCAAAUCACUCAUUAUAUUGAAAUAACAGCACAAAAUUUAAUUAAAAAAAUCUGAUUUAUAUAAGAUGCCCUAAUUGAAAAAAAAAAUCCAAAAAAAAGAAAGACGACGCACCGAAGGAGAAGAGUUGCGCGAUCGAAAUGAGCGAAGAAUCUAGACGAAGGGCGAUGUGGUUAGGCAACUGGUGGGGGCGGCGCAGCGUGGGGAGAGAAUAGAGAGAAGGUGGAUUGGAGGGUAGGGUUGAGGGUGGGAUGAGAGGAAGAUGAUGGGUUAGGCAGCAGUGGGAUUUUUUUUGUUUUUUGUGUUUCUUUUAGGGCAUCAAUUCCUUUUCCCUACUUUCCCCCCCUUUCUCUUUCAGGUUGCUCCGUUAACGUCCGUCCGUCAAAAAAAAGUUACGACUACUCCUCCCAAUAUCGCACGAAUCUCGAAGCAUGAUGAAAGGUUUAAAAGUUAAUAGGACAAGGGCUGUUGUCCUAUUAAGAGGAGAGCAGCCCUACUCUCUCUCUCUCUCUCUCUCUCUCUCUCUCUCUCUCUCUCUCUCUAUAUAUAUAUAUAUAUAUAUAUAUAUAUAUAUAUAUAUAUAAAAUUGAGCUCCUAUGCUUUUAAAAGUAUCAAGUUAUUGGUGCUUGUAGAUUUUUAACCAUUGGAUUAAGAGAUAUGCGGUUAGGAUGAUGUGGGCCCCCUAGGGUUGAGUGGGUGGUUGGUUGAAUAGUAUAAUCUAAUGGUUGAAAAUGAUCAGAGAAGUAGAUCUAACGGUAAAAAACUUACAAGCACCAAGUAUUUGGUGCUUUUACAGGCACCAUAGCUGGACUAUAUAUAUAUAUAUAUAUAUAGUUAGACUGGGCUACUAUUAGUAGCAAAUCCCAUUGUUGCUACCAGUUUUUUAGCCUUUGGAUCAACUCUUUUGAUUAUUUCUAACCAUUAGAUUAAAUACUAUAACCCAGUGGGAACACUCAACUCUAACCACUAAUAUCAUCCGACUCUACAAUUUUCAUCCAAGGGUUAAAAAUUUGAUAGCAAAAAGAGCAUUUUACUAUUAAUAGUAUUCCAGCAAUAUAUAAUAUAUAUAUAUAUAUAUAUAUAUAUAUAUUAUAUAUAUUAGGGUUUAGGGUUUAGGGUUUAGGGUAUUAAAAAUAUUUAUAAAUACAAUACAUUUUAAUUGUAUGUGUGCCGUGUAAUUUGAGUUUAUUUUAAUUGAACCAUUGUUGUUGCCUUGUUGGCCCAUAAAACAAACCUAAUAAACAACCACUCUAAAUUUACACACUCUUUCUCUCUUUCACAAAACCCUAAAAUCUCAAUUCCCAAAUCCCUAAUCUCUUCCCCUCUCUCUCUCUCUCCCUUUCUCUCUCUCUCUCUCUCUCUGUAAGGACUGAGAUUUUUACAGUGCAACUAAACUCUCUGUUGAUAAUGUUUAUGUGUGUAAUUUAAUUACAUAAACACUCGUCAAGUUUCAGAAGAAAAUGAGCUAGAAUGGAGAAGUUACGCGAUUAUUAGUUUUCACUUAAGUGAAUAGUAACUCCGGUUUUCCGAAGAAGUUAAAUAGAGAAGACGGUUUCUGGCGCGUAUCGGACUCCGUUCAUAGCGAUCCAAUAGCUCGUUUCGACCGGUUCAGUUAUUCUGAAACUAAUGGUGCUGACGGAUUUUGGGCUUGACGCACGAAUUUCGAGAAAAUCUGAAAAUACAUGUUCUAUGUGCAUUUGUGCGUCAUUUUGGCCGUAUUGGGGUGAAAGCGCAUUUCGUCGCGAAUCCGUGAUCGUUCGAGGUGAACCAAAUCGUAGCUUUGUUGUCUCCGAGGUGUUGAUCGCACUGGUGCAAUCCGUUCGCAAAUCUGACGAACGAAUCUGUGGAGAUCGCACGUUGAUCGAGGAGAGGUCGGUGUAGGGAAAAUUGUAUUUUCGCAAGAGUCGUAAUAUUUUAUGUACCGAAUCAUGCGAAAUCAGACGUGGAAGGGCGUACGUGCAAAAUACUCGCACUGUGAAGGACUAAAUUCCUAUUAAUCAGUGUAGAGGGACUUGUGUGCAAAUUGACAAUCAUAUAAGGAGUUCCUAGGGUUUCAUCAUGGGAAAACCCUAACUUCGGUUCACCUUCUCCCUCAGCCGACCUCCUUGCAAUCCUAUGAACCUUCCCCUUCCUAGCCGCUCGCACUCUGGCCGCCGGCGAGCACCUCCGGCCACCGGAGUAGGCCUUCUAGUGCUCUCCUCUCCAUCGGGUUCCACUACUUAGGCCGUGGAUCCCAGGAAAGCAUCCUUUUGCAUCGAACCACUGUUCACCGGCCGAGGCUUCCCCUCCGGCGACAUCCCCUCCGGCCUCGCUGUCCACGCGCGUCGCCGGCGCUGCCAGGACGCGCUGCAGCCGCCUAGACCCAGAGCGGGCCGAGCCGGCGCGACCUCUGCCUCCAGGGAUCGCCGCCGCCAGGGACCUCAUAGGCGACCUCCCUCGUGACCGCCGGCACCUCUGCGUCCGGCCAGAGUGGCCGCCGCCGCCGCUCGUACUGUUUGCGGCCAGCCCGAGCGAGAUCUGGCCGUGGUUGGCCAGAUCUCUCUCCCCCGCGUCGCCGCUGUCAAGGAUCGGCCAGGCCACCUCCCGCCGGCCUCCGACGACCGCUCGCCGUCGCCCGGAGCUCCCCCAGCCGUUUCCGUGGCCGUCGGCCGCCGCUCCCUCUCCCUGCGGCCGCGCAUGGACCGUGCAGGCUGAGCCACGCCCGGCACCGCCGCCGCCGCCUUCCGCCGCCGGCCGGCGUGAGCAUCGGCUCCGCCUGGCCGGCCACACCCGUCCGCCGCCGGCCUCCCUGUCGCCGGAGCUCCCUGUUGGCCGGUUCUGGGCCGACCUCACCUCGGGUUAGGUGCCUAGGGCAUCGUCGCCCGUCGACGUCGCCGCCUCCCGUCGCCUGCUGACGCGAGCCUCGGACCCCUCUGACCUGGCGCACCUGCCCCUGGCCGGCCUUCCCGCCGUCCGGCCGCCGCCGGCCACCCCCGAGCCGUGCCUAGCUCCGGUAAGCUAGCAUUGCAUUUAUUGUGCACUGUUUGGGGUUGUGUACACUGUUCCGGCAACCCGAGGCUGUUCCGAUGCCUCCGGAAGUGAGCACGGUGAUCUUCAGUCAGUGCUGAUCACAGUGCUCACCUCAAUCGGGGUCAACGAGCGUCGAUUGUGUCAUUUUGAAGUGUUUUAGUUUCAGCGCACAGUUUUCGCUGAAGUUCGCAUCGCUUGUGCUCGUGCCACAGCGGCCGGCAGUGCUCCGAAAGGUGAGCACGGCCUCCGGCACGCCGAGACCUGUCAGUAGGUGUCUCGGUUUGGCUGAAUGAUUUCUAGUUUGUGUAGACGGACCAUAAAAGCGCCGAAAUCGCAUGAAAUAAUGCGAUUUCGGGUAAUCGGGAGGGCUUUUAUGUAUUUUGGAUUGUUGCGGCUGUUGUUGGCAGCAUGGGUGAGCAGUGGGUAACCUCUGGACUGAUUGUCCAAGACCCCAGACCUUUGCUAAGAUCGGAAAUGUAUUUUCAGCGCGUUUUUCGGCAAAAUCCGCCGACGAAACGCGAUUUCGGUUCGGAACUCUUCUGACGAUACUUAGUGAUCAUUUGCCAAGUGGCUGAGCCUUGUUGAUUGGUCACUCGCGUCAUUUUGAGAGUUCAGAAAUGACGGGUGAGCGACGGUGGGUUCCGGUGUCGAAAUAGACACUUCCGGGAACCUAGAUCGGAACGAUUAUCCGAUGACAAUCGUUUUGGAGUGAGUUAGGGUCUUUGCUGCCAAGUCACACGUAAAUUUGUAUUUAGUGGCAGCGGGUGACUCGUAGCAUGAGUGGUACAUUCGGGACAGUUCGUGGGUCCCGACGGAGUUCCGGUGCGGUUUUCGGAACUUCCGGCUUGUUCGGUAAUUGGUUUUGGGAAACCGAUUCCCGAGGGACUAUGAUUUUGGGAUUGCGAGUAGCGAUACGGGUUUGUGAGUCGUGGACUUAAUGGUUAUUAAUUGUGGGUUAGAUACUAACCCGGAGGACCUCCUGUAGGUCCGGUUGACAUUCUUUUGUAGUCAGUAGACAGACGCGAUAUCCUUACAGGUGGGUACUUCGAUCCGACGUCGGUACAGUGGUGCACGCUCGGUGAUGGUUUCUUACCUUUGUUCUCUCGUUAUUAUCUGGCAUAUAUAUAUUUUGAUAUAUAGUGUUAAGCCUAGCACCCACGUUGUUUGGUUAUACUCUACUCAGAUGUUUCCAUGCUUAGUAUCAUGUGUAGGAGUAUAGUCUAUCUGUAUGUGAUACCAUGUUUUCUUGUUGCUCUACUUAGCUAUCCCGCAUAUCCUGUUUCAUGUUUAGAGUAAAGCGGUUUCGUGAUUUUCUGUGAGAUCGGUGACCUAGUCGGUCGGUUCCUUGACUUCUGUCGUUUGAUGACCUUUGUGGUCGGUGUACCCUGAGGGGUCGGAUUGUCGGCUAGUGGCCGACGGUAGUUCGAGAUUAUAUACUCAGAUGACUUGUUGAUCGAUUCUUGCAUAUAUACAGUAGUUGACUUAUUGAUCAGUAUCUACAUACUUUUGGUAGGAUGUUGAGUUGUUCCAUCCCAGUUGACUUGAUUAGUCAGUACUUACAUACAGUUAAGAGGAUGUCGAUGUUGUCCCAUCCUAGUUGACCUGAGUGGUCGGUUCUUGUGCUUCUUUACAGUUGACGACCUAUGCGGUCGAUGGGCCCUGGGGGGCAGGAUUGUCGGCUGGUUGCCGACGGUUGAUCAUUGAGCAUAUUGCAUUGAUCGCCCGAUACUCGUCGCAUUUCACGAACACUGGCGGUCUGAUCCACCGCAAGGAGUGUUCUUUUCCGGAAAAGUGGUUGAAUGGUGACAACCCGUGAGCCCUAGAGGGGUUAUAUGCACUGGAGAGUAGUAGUGGCACUGGCUUGAGGUCUGCGGUGCUGACCAAGAGAGCAUUGGUUUCAGAUUGGGUACUUUUGGACUUCUUGACCGGUUGACGCAUAUGUCUAUAGUAGCAGUCGUUGCAUGCAUACUUACAGUUCUUACUUUAUAGUUGUCUUGCUGCUAUAGUAGAUAUUCAUGUAUGCUUUCGGUUCUAGUUACAGUAGCGGUAGCCAUUAUUCAGUCUAGUUCUUACUUUCUUUAAGUUUAUUGCUACUGUAUUUAAUAUAUCUGCUCAUUACCUUAUACAUCUCUUUUGUUUACUAUUGUUCCUACUGUAUUUCCACUGACCCGUGUUGUUGUAUAGCUCUUCCUGAUCCGGUGAGUACUCCUCGCCUUCUUCGGCUUGCGGUACCCACUGGGAGGGGAGACAUGUUUACAUGUUCUCACCUCCCCCACCAUUUUUCAGGUAUCGCGGGCGAUGAUUAGUGGGACGAGACGUGAGGUACGUGUGUAGCAGUCGAUAGAACUUCCGACUCAGGUUAUUUCGAUUUAGUUAUUACCCUUAUUAUUUCUGUUGAUUUAUAGCUUAGUCGGUUUACAUGGUUCAGUUUUGUGUUAUUAUCUGAAUAUCUGAGUUUUCAGUUGGUUUUGGAAUGUAAUAAAGGAUUUGUGUUUUCUUGAAAUAAAAAUAGUUUUCUACCCCUCGUGGUAGCGUUUUAAAAAGAUAAAAGUUCCCGUGUAGGGAACAGUUUUCAAAGGGUUUUCUGUGAUUUUGUAUCUUAGUAUUUUAAAACAUGUUUCUGUGGUUGGAAACAUUUUAACUGAUAGAUGUGAAUUUAUGUUUAAAUAUUGAGUGAAAAAAUGUGAAUCUGUGGUGAAUGGUGUAUGAAUAUAUAACUGUGGUUAUUUGUAUGUUCAUCUGGUUGUGGUUGUAUCAUGUUUGAACUCUUGUACUUGUGCGACGCCGUGCAAAUACAGGGGAGACUUUGUCCGUGUGAACCGUGGAUCUCCUGUAUUUGUGGCGGAUCUGGCAUACCUUGGGGUCAGGUUUUCAAAAAAAAAAAAAUUCAGACGCUUUUCCGCUAUGCUUUAAACUAAAAAGGGACCCCGGGGCGUGACACUCUCUCUCCCUCUCUCUCUCUCUCUCUCUCUCUCUGUGUCCCUCACCCCAAGUCCCCAAUUAAUAGGGUAAUAGAACGCAGCCACCACUCACCACCAAGCUUGUUGGCUCUAUUGCCCACCUCGUGGGCUGCUAUAACUAAACUUGUUGGCCAACGUCGCCCCAACGUUGUCCGCUGCCGUGGCCAAAAUCGUCCCAGCGCCUCAACCUCGGCGGCCACUGUCGCGAACCUCGUCAGCCACCGUCACCGCAACCUCGACGCCACCAUUGCUGACCUCAACCGCCGCUACUGCCGCAGCCUUGACACGGCCGCCGACGUUGCUCUUCGAUCUCUUUACACCGACUAAUUUGAUUUUUUAAUGUAAGAAAAUUUUAAUACUUUUAUUUGGAGUUUUUUUUAUUAAAUUUUAGUUAAGCACUAAUAGGAUCGUAUGACUUCAGAUACUCUGUAAUGCACCCUGUAUAAGCUAUUCGACUGUCAUAAUUUUGUAAUUAUGCCAAAAGUAUCUUACUUUUUGAAAUCUUUCAUACUCUUCUUGGGUAUUCUUGGCAAUUUCAGUUUGUUCUUCUAGGACAACUUGCAAUCUUGAAAUCUAACAUUAAAAAAAACACAGAGUAAAGAAAGAAAAUACUGCAAUGAAUAAUACAUCACAUGGAGUGCAAACAAUUAAUGUUGAUAACAUGUUGAUGAACAUUAUGGAGAUUUAUAGUCAAAUUAAUAAAAUAGUAGUAGAAGUGCACCUCUGUUAGUAGAACUUUCUUAGGCAUAUUCUUUAGCAUUAUCAAAGAGAAGCAUCGCCCAAGAAGAUAUAGGUAAUAAUUUUUGCUAUGACAUUUAAUUUAGAUUAGGUUGAAUUCUACUCUUUUGUUCUUUGGAACAUUAUUACAAAUCUUUUUAGUUUAAUAUGUGAUAAUUUAUUUUUGUACUUAGAUGUCUUCACGGAUUCCUUCUUCUCAAAAUUCUAUAUCUUCUCCCGCCAUUGAUGAUAUUAUUGCUGAUGACUCACCGAUCGCUGUCGAUGAGGAGUGCAGAGAUGAUGGAGAUAAUGACUAAUUGAUGAAUGAGAAGGCGAUUGCCACCAGCAGCCCAUCCAAGAAAAGGGGGAGAAAAAAAAUAUCAGAUGUAUGAAAAAACUUUAAAAAAAUUUAGGUAAUAGAGAAAGGAUCAUCUAUUGAGAAAUAUAAAUGCUACAAAUAUCCGACAACUUUUCACAUUCCUAAGUAUGGUACCACUUCUCAAUUUAAAAGGUACUUGAUUGCCUACACACAAAGCUAGAUAAAAAGCAAUGUACUAUAUCUUUUGCUUUCACUUGCACAAUAGUUAUUGAUACUAUUGGAGAGAAAUAUCUUUCCAAAAUUUCGAAAGGAAAAUAUGACCACAAAAUGAUAAGAAAAAUAAUUGCGAAAAUGAUUAUGGCACAUAAGUAUUCGUUUAGUAUAGUUGAGCAUGCAUAGUUGUUACGACAAAACCGAAAAGAUCUAAUUCGUCAGGCGUGAAAGUAGCAAGAAGAAUAGAGAAAUAGAGAAGAAAAUAAAGAACACAAUGUUUACGUGGUUUGGCCACUGGCCUACGUCCACGGGCGAAGACGGAGCAAAACUUUAUUACUGUCGAAGGUGGAAUACAAAAUUAUAUAUCUCUCCCAAAAGACCCAAAUCAGAAAAUAUAACCAAAAAGCACACCACGAUGAACGGGCGAAUUACUCAAGUCAUGUCCGUGCAACCGGAUUACACGGCUCGGCCUCUCACCAACACCCUUGUUCGACUUUCGCACCCAAUAUUUGGCCCGGCUCUCUCCCCGUCAGAUGCACCACGAGAGCUCACGCGCCAGCCUUAUGGAAGAGCUCACGACGGGUUGGCUUGAUUGGAACUUAAUUAAUUAGACGUGGCUUUUUCUCUCUCGCUCUCCCUGAGAAAGGAUUGGAUAUAUAUAUAUAUAUAUAUAUAUAUAUAUAUAUAUAUAUAUAUAUAUAUAUAUAUAUAUAUAUAUAUAUAUAUAUAUAUAUAGAGUGUGUGUGUGUGUGUGUGUGUGUGUGUUUUAUGCUCAUCUCCUCCCUGGGGACAUUGAGACACAAAAAAGAAGAGAAAAAGGAGAGAGAGGAGUGUUAGUAGAUGGCACAGAUUCUUGAGUGAUCUGAGCUCUCACCAAUCAGCCAAANAUAAUUCACAUGUAAUUCUAAUAAUCUAAAAUGAAUCCUCAUAAUCCAUACAAAAAAAUUGAUAAAUAAUGAUAAUAAUUUGAAAAUAGUGAAUGAUUUACCGCUUUCUAAAGAUGGUGAACGAUUCAACCGAUUUUUUUAUAUUUGUCAAACAUGCAUUGAGUUUGCAAGAAGAAGAUUAGUUGGCCAAAUAAAAUGUUAAAAAAAUUAUUUGGCUAAUUAGAAAUUUUUAUAAGAUUAUUUUUUAAAAAAGUCAAUUCUACAAGGAGCAAAUAAUACUAAUGGUACACAUAAAAACGGAGUGUAAAUCUUAUAUCCAUCACUCAAGGUUUAUAUUGGAUUCUUGUUUUGUCUAUAUAUAUAUAUAUAUAUAUAUAGAGAGAGAGAGAGAGAGGAUGCAGCCUAAUUAAAUUAGAACUCCCAGUAUGACUCCAAAACCAAUCCUAUAAUUCCUAGGAAUCAAAAAAUACCAAAUAGAUCCAGCCUACCAAAUUGACAUGGACUAAAUCUAAAUCCUAUUUUAAUUAGGAUAAUUAUAAUUUGAGUUCUUUUAAUUUUGCUCCACAAAAUUUUAAGCCGCAUCACAAAAUAAUUUGGAUCGAGACAUAUUUAACAAUAGUUUAAUGUGUUAUUGAAAGUUUUGAAUCCUAAUUAUGAAAAAAUUUCUAGAAAAAUUAUAAAGAAUAAUUGUAUGAAAGUUUAUGACAAUAAAAAAAAUAAGCUAAAGAAGAUGCUUAAAAGUGUUGGAAUGAUAAGUUUAACAUCAAAUACAUGGACAUCCAACCGAACAAUUGGUUAUAUGUGUGUUUGACUGCUCAUUUUAUAGAUUCUGAAUGAAAAUUACAGAAGCGUGUCAUAACUUUUUGUGAGUUGGAGCCUCCACAUAUGGAGGUUGUCAUUGCUGAUAAUAACGUUGAAUGACUACUUAAUUAGGGCAUUGAGAACAAGAUAUCCACUAUAACCUUGGAUAAUGCCUCCUUUAACGAUGUGACGAUUCGAUUUUUAAUGGAUAAUUUUGUUGUUAGAGGAAGAUUUUUUUUUUAAGCGAAUUAUAUUUCAAGUAAGAUGUUGUACUCAUAUCUUAAAUUUAGUUGCUCAAGAUGGGCUCGAUGCAAUUGAAAAAAUUAUUGAAACUAUUAGGAAUAGUAUUGUUUACUUGAAAAAAAAGCCUCACACAUCUCCACAAAUUUGGUGAAAUUGCUCGACAACUUAAUAUCUCUACAACAAAAGGAUUGGCAUUAGAUGUUGCAACUCGUUGGAAUUCUAUAUACAUUAUGUUAGAUCAUGCCUUUACAUAUAAAGCCGUUUUCCAACAACAUGCAACUAGAGAUGCAAAUUAUAAAUGGCUUCCAUCUCAAAGUGACUGGAUGAAAGCUCAAAAAGUUUUUGACAUUCUUGAAAUUUUUUAUGAAAUGAUAAACAUCUUCUCUGGUUCACUUUAUCAUACAGCAAAUCUUUUUCUUCCAGAAAUAAAAAAUAAAAGAACAGCUAAAUCAGAAAUUUAAAUGUGAGGAUGAAUUUUUGAAAAACAUGGUUGUUGAGAUGCGAAAAAAGUUUGACAAAUAUUAGGGUAAGUGUAAUAUAUUGAUGUCUAUUGCAACUAUUAUGGAUCCUGGUUACAAAAUGAAUCUUAUUAAGUUUUGCUUUCUUAAAAUUUACCCUCAGAUUGAAUUUGUUGAUCAUAUUCUAAAAGUUCAGAAAGCAUUAUUUAAUAUAUAUGAAAUUUAUGUACUCGAGCAAGUCUUAAAGUACCUACACAUGAUGUUGGAGGACCAAAUUUAUCAAAUGAUGAAAUUGGUUAAGAUUUAUCUAAGAAGACAAAAGUUAAGACAAAAGAAAGAGUUGUAUUUGAUUUAUUCUUGGAGACAGUUGAUACAAUGAAAAUUAGAAAAUCAGAGUCGAAGAUUUACUUGGAAGAGCAAAACGUGAGAUGUGAUGCAUCUACAGACACAACAUUUGAUGUUCUUAAUUGGUGGAAAAUGAACUCUCACAAGCUUUCUAUUCUUGCACAGAUGGCAAAGAAUAUUCUUUCUGUACUAAUUACCACGGUGAUACAGAAUAUGCAUUUAGUGCUGGUGGAAGAGUUCUUACGAAUUACUAUAAUUCACUAUCCACUCUUACUGUAGAGGCCCUAAUAUGUGAAGGAAGUUGGAUUCGCGAUGCUUCAAAACUACAACUAAAAUCUCCCAAUGUAAGUUAUUAUAUGUUUUUAAUCUUGAAUUUUAUAAUUUACUAUUCAUUACUAGUGUUUUAGAUAAUUAACUAUAAUGGCUAAAUUUACACUAUGAUUAUCUAAAUGAAGAGAGUCUAAUCAUUCAAAUUCCCGAAGUUGUGGAUCCUUAGCUUACUUAUUUCUCUUUUGUAAGGUGGAUAAUUUUAAAAAUGCACAUAUUACAUACAUUUUAUUACUUUUUAAAUUAUUUUUUAUGUAAACUAACUUUUAUUAUGUUUUUUUUGUGCCAGAUGGAGUGAUUUUGAGUUGAAGACUUAACGUUGUUUUCUAUACUUUAUUAUGCCACCGUGAUGGCUCUUAAUACCUAUAUGCAUUUGAGAUUAAUGUUAAACUAGUGUAGAGUCCGCGCUUCGCAGUAGAUAGUCAAUUAAAAUAUAUAAUUAUAAAAAUUUUAUAAUUAAAAAAUUAUUUAGUACAUUAUAAAAAAUAAUUUUUUUAUUAAUAUUUUCUUAAUUUUUGAAUAGUCAUAUUAUUUUAAUAAUUUUAUUUAAAAAUUAAUUAAAUUUAAUAGUUUAAAAAUUGUUCUAUAAAUAAUAUUUUUAACUAAAAAGUUAAAAAUCUGAAUACACCACUUAUCUCUAAGUUAGUAUAUUUUAUGUGAUUCUCACAACUAAAUUUCGUAAAAAAUAAAAUUAAUUUAAAUUCCAUCAAUCUUUCUUUUAUUUUUUAAUAUGUAAUUUAUAUUUAAAUGCUCAAUAUUAUAAAAUAAAAAUUUAUAUUUAACACAAACGGUCUAAAAUAUUAAAAAAUUAUUUAUAUAUUUUAAAUUUUAUAAUAAAAAAUAAAAAAUUAGAUUGGAUUUUUAAAAAAUAUAAAUUAUUUUGUAUAUAUGAAGAGAGCAAAAAAAAUUAAGAGCGGAAAAAAAAAAAAAAUCUCCUCCCCUCCCCGAUGGGCUCCAUCUCCACCGGGCCCACCCUGUGCGCUCGCGCCCACGCGAGCGUCCGCGCCAGUUGGCCCGAGCGCGAGCAUCUACGCCAGUUGGCCCGAGCGCGAGCGCCCGCGCCGUCUCGUGCCCGACUGGCCCGCGUCGUCUCACGCCCGCCAGCCCGCCCCGCCGCCAUCUCGCAAUUCCCCCAUCUCUGCCACGUGGCUUAAGAAAAAUAAGGAUUCAUUGUAUUUACUAAGCCAUAACAGUCGCAGCCAGUCGCCAUCACCUUAGCGCCACCGGCUGUUGCGUCAUCACCUAAGCUGCAGCUGCCGUCGCCCAUCGCCGUCGCCGCGAAGGCCGGCCAAAUCCCUGCACGAAAAGGUUUUCAAUGAGAAGAGAGGGGGGAAAUAGGAGGGGCAUAAGAGAAGAGAGAGAGUAGGGAAGGGAGAGAAAAGAGUGGAGGACAGCUGAAGUGGGGAAUUAGAAUAGAGAGAAUUGGGACAGCUAGAGGAGGAAGGAGAAAGAGAGGGGGGCCUUCUUAGGGAAGAGAGAGAAAGAGAGGAGAUGAGAGGGGAAGAGAGAGAGUGCUAGAGAGACAGGGAGAGAGAGAGGAGAUGGGUUGACGAAAUGGGUUGGGGGAGAGAGAGUGGGAGAGAGGAAGAGAGAUGGUAGAGAGAGAGUUUCAUAAAGAAAUCUGGGAGUCCCAAGUAUUCAUAAAUCGCCAUGUGGAAUAGGAUAAUGUCCUCACGCACCACGUGUACCUGUGUUCUCUCAAAUUAAAUAGUACAAGUAACAUCACCAUCUCAUGGUUGCCCGCAAGCGGGCCGUCCAAACUCCGUGCAUGCAUCACAGAUGUGAGGGGGGGUAGUUCUAGGUAGUUGCCCAUAUAGGGACCCUCCCCUCCCAAAUAAUUGGCUGUGCAGGGCCCAAUCUCCUUGUUGCCAAGUAACAUCACCAUCUCGCCAAAAUUUUUUUAAAAUGUCAAGAACAUGCAGGCAAAAAGUGAAUAAAUAAUGUAAACAGUCAAAGUUAUCCAGUGUAGAUUAUGGAAAUAAAUACGUCGCAGUUAAAGCUAGCAUGUACGAUCAUCCAUGUGAAAAGGACAAAUGAAGCACCAAAGGAGGAGCCAAGAGCGGUUGCCCGCUUGGCGGGCCGUCCAAACCUGCUUAGCAAUGACAAAGCCAUUUUUUUUUCACUUGCACAUCAACAGGGCGUAAAAAAAUAUUUAAAAAAACCACCAGCAAUCUAAAAAAACUGCUCUGCAACGGCAAAGCUAUUUUUUUUCUCACUUGCAUAUCAACAGGGCCUUGAAAAAACUUAAAAAAACUACCAAGGAUUAAAAAAAAACAAACGAAAGAUCAGAAAAAAUUAUAAAAAUAAAAUAAAAUGGUAGGAAUCAAACUAAACAUGCAGGAAAGGGAUGUCUGUGAAUAGGACG